UACCGCGGUUAUACGAGAGGCCCAAGUUGACAAGCUCCGGCGUAAAGCGUGGUUAAGGGACAACAAACACUAAGGCCGAACGCUUACUAGACUGUUAUACGUUUCCGAAAGUAAGAAGCACAUUCACGAAAGUAGCUUUAUAUCACCUGAACCCACGAAAGCCAAGGCA
rnacentral:rRNA from 1 species